GCCUUGCCAAACUCCGAGAGCAGCAGACCGGCACCGGAGGCGGCCAGAUUACGGGUUACCGCGGCCGCGUCGUGCUUGACAGGGACCGCGCGGGUCGACAGUAAGCGAGGCCCAGAGUUGGGGUGAUCUGAAUCGAUGGUUCCCCCAGAUCAGAGCCUGCAAGCAUGUGCACUAUCUGGGGACUUCCGUCGCCUGCACCGCCAAGGUUCUUGGUCGGGAACAACUUCCGCGGCUUGCAGGUGAACUUUCACAUCUUGCACUCAAGUGUCAAUCAAGAAACUUCUUACUACUAACAGGUGAGCCCUGCUCC
rnacentral:lncRNA from 1 species